rnacentral:rRNA from 1 species
ACCUAGGAAACAGAUGACUAAUACCGGAUAACAACAGAUGAUGCCUAUCAACUGUUUAAAAGAUGGUUCUGCUAUCACUCUUGGAUGGACCUGCGGUGCAUUAGCUAGUUGGUAGGGUAACGGCCUACCAAGGCGAUGAUGCAUAGCCGAGUUGAGAGACUGAUCGGCCACAUUGGGACUGAGACACGGCCCAAACUCCUACGGGAGGCAGCAGCU